rnacentral:lncRNA from 1 species
CUCUAGCUCUCGAACAACUCCAGAGAAGGACAUUAGCUGCUAACGCCAGAGGACGCAAAGAACAAUAGCACAGUGGGAACCAAGCUAACGGGAGAAUGAAGGACAAACAUAUUUCCUUUGUGAAACUCUACGCUACUUCUUCCCGCCCGUCGUCCGCCAUGUUUGUUUACAAUAGCGUCACGAUUGGUCGCAAGACAUUUUGCGAGAUUUCUGGUUUUGAGAGUCGGGACUGUGUUCAGGAAUCGUUGCUACACUUCAUCACACGGGUCUCUCACAUCUUCACCUGCAGUCCGAUGAUCACAGUGUGCGCAGGGAUUGUGCAGGCGCCUCUUCUCUUCAUGUGUUCACAAAUGAAUCACUUCAUGUUGAGCGGGUCUCUCUCGCUGCGAACACACGAUGAUUCAGAUAUGGUGUUUCUGAAGAUAAACUCUUCUUCAGUCUCCCGGAGAUUAAACUCUUCCUCAGCCAGUAUUUUUCGCAGUGAAGACGUAAGGAGACUCUUUCGCACGGCAGGACUACGUUUCCUCCGCAGCAGCUCGAACACAUCACAACAGACUCACCAGCUCGGCCGUUCUCCACGUCUGUACGAUUCAGUGUGUCGAGACCAGAGAAAUCCGCACGACUUGCUUGUGUGGUGUCGCCAGCAGCCCAGGGGACAGGAAGUCGAGCAGCCAAUCAGCUCCUCUCCUCCUCUGCUGCGUCUAUUAUUUCACCUGCACGUGUCAAAUGUCCUGAAUAAAUUGUACGAGGCUACAUUAUAUAGCGCUUUUACCCAAAGUGCUUUGGAAGGUUUCUGCCAGAGUCACACACUGAAGGGGCGGGGGGGGGGGGCAUCACUGCAGGAGCAAUUUGGGGUUCAGUGCUUUGCCCGAAGACACUUCGACAUGUGAACAGGAGGAGGUGGGGAUCGAACUUGAGGUGCAUGCGUGAGAGUCAGUCCCUCUGGAGAAACUCUCACUUCUACACGUUCAAGAUUGAAAGACGUGUCUUCUGGCUUUAAGGUGUUCACAUCUCUGUGCAGCGCAGGAAAGUUUAUCAAUGCUGAGAUUCUCCUGACAUCUUCAGAGGUCUACGACCAAACGUCAGCACCGUGUGCGCCUCUGGACCAUCAACGUUUAUCUGGGACUUUACUUACCACUGAAAAUGGUUAUUCCAGUUAUGAAUGAGGCGUAAAUAAACGUUACUAAAG